CUUCUUUUCAAAACACAACCUACUACAUGGCUAUUUGAGGGUUCGGCUGGGCAGAAAACAGGAGUUUCCUCCCUCCUCUGGGGUUAUUUAAGGAAAACUCAGUGUUUCCCCUCCUCUCCAUGCAGUUCUGGGUGUGGUUUUGAAACUUCUGUGAAUGAUGUGUAUGCCUUUGACUCAGUCCUUAACUUAAAGAGGGGAGGAGGAGCGUAUUAGUUGGAGCACAGUUUGAGCUUGGGGUUGCAUUGGAGCUAAGGAGCAACUUGUAUGAUCUGCUGUAUUCUCUGUUUAAGCUAUGGCUUUAGGAUCAUCACACUAAGGGCAUAUAAAGACAAUUGGGCUUUAAAUCAAUCCCAAGUGAAAGCUGGCAGUACUUUUGUUAAUGAUCUCAGAGUUUUAGAAGACUUCCAACAUGCACACCAUCCUAAGGGUGUGCCUCCCUGUGGUGAAAAUGGAGCAUUGCGAGUUAUGGGGCUCAACCUCCUGUGCCUACUGA
rnacentral:lncRNA from 1 species